rnacentral:rRNA from 1 species
UUGAACGCUGGCGGCAUGCCUUACACAUGCAAGUCGAACGGCAGCACGGGUGCUUGCACCUGGUGGCGAGUGGCGAACGGGUGAGUAAUACAUCGGAACAUGUCCUGUAGUGGGGGAUAGCCCGGCGAAAGCCGGAUUAAUACCGCAUACGAUCUACGGAUGAAAGCGGGGGACCUUCGGGCCUCGCGCUAUAGGGUUGGCCGAUGGCUGAUUAGCUAGUUGGUGGGGUAAAGGCCUACCAAGGCGACGAUCAGUAGCUGGUCUGAGAGGACGACCAGCCACACUGGGACUGAGACGCGGCCCAGACUCCUACGGGAGGCAGCAGUGGGGAAUUUUGGACAAUGGGCGAAAGCCUGAUCCAGCAAUGCCGCGUGUGUGAAGAAGGCCUUCGGGUUGUAAAGCACUUUUGUCCGGAAAGAAAUCCUUGGCUCUAAUACAGUCGGGGGAUGACGGUACCGGAAGAAUAAGCACCGGCUAACUACGUGCCAGCAGCCGCGGUAAUACGUAGGGUGCGAGCGUUAAUCGGAAUUACUGGGCGUAAAGCGUGCGCAGGCGGUUUGCUAAGACCGAUGUGAAAUCCCCGGGCUCAACCUGGGAACUGCAUUGGUGACUGGCAGGCUAGAGUAUGGCAGAGGGGGGUAGAAUUCCACGUGUAGCAGUGAAAUGCGUAGAGAUGUGGAGGAAUACCGAUGGCGAAGGCAGCCCCCUGGGCCAAUACUGACGCUCAUGCACGAAAGCGUGGGGAGCAAACAGGAUUAGAUACCCUGGUAGUCCACGCCCUAAACGAUGUCAACUAGUUGUUGGGGAUUCAUUUCCUUAGUAACGUAGCUAACGCGUGAAGUUGACCGCCUGGGGAGUACGGUCGCAAGAUUAAAACUCAAAGGAAUUGACGGGGACCCGCACAAGCGGUGGAUGAUGUGGAUUAAUUCGAUGCAACGCGAAAAACCUUACCUACCCUUGACAUGGUCGGAAUCCCGCUGAGAGGUGGGAGUGCUCGAAAGAGAACCGGCGCACAGGUGCUGCAUGGCUGUCGUCAGCUCGUGUCGUGAGAUGUUGGGUUAAGUCCCGCAACGAGCGCAACCCUUGUCCUUAGUUGCUACGCAAGAGCACUCUAAGGAGACUGCCGGUGACAAACCGGAGGAAGGUGGGGAUGACGUCAAGUCCUCAUGGCCCUUAUGGGUAGGGCUUCACACGUCAUACAAUGGUCGGAACAGAGGGUUGCCAACCCGCGAGGGGGAGCUAAUCCCAGAAAACCGAUCGUAGUCCGGAUUGCACUCUGCAACUCGAGUGCAUGAAGCUGGAAUCGCUAGUAAUCGCGGAUCAGCAUGCCGCGGUGAAUACGUUCCCGGGUCUUGUACACACCGC